UAUAAUAAGUCCAUCAAUAGAUAUAAUGCAAGGCUGCUUGCAGACGGAGCGAUAUAUCUAUUAGAUGGGCAAACAGGCAUGAGCAAAAAGGGUGAUAACCCGAUUUGCGAAUGUAUGUUGUGAUUUCGAGAGUUCGCAGAACGGAGAAAUCACAUUUAUUAUA
rnacentral:sRNA from 1 species